AGGGCCUGGGCCAUGGAGCUUGCAGAGGCAAGGAUGAAGAUGAGGAAUGGAUGCCUGUCACCAAGUUGGGCUACCUGGUCAAGGACAUGAAGAUCAAGUCCCUGGAGGAAAUCUAGCCCUUCUCCUUGACCAUCGAGGAGUCUGAGAUCAUUGACUUUUUCCUGGGGGCAUCUCUCAAGGAUGAGGUUUUGAAGACCACGCCCGUGCAAAAGCAGACCUGCGCUGACCAGCAUACCAGGUUCAAGAAACCUGUGUUUGCAUUUCAGAUGUCUCUUAACUUACUGAGGAAAUCAUUACCAACCUCACUGGGUGGACAGGAGGAUGAACAGGAGAACUUCAGCAAAUUGUAGUUCUUGUUCUAUCCCUGAACUAACCCAACAUUCAAAGUCACUCAUCUGAUGCUUCCCACCUGGCACCCUGCACUUGUAUGUAUUUUUCCAUUCAUAUUCAUUUCUGCCUCUUCAUCUAGAUUACACAGCAACAAUGUAAAUUAAUGACUACUCAAGAGUCAGACAGACAUGAGUUCAAAUCCUACCUUUGCUACUUACUACAUGUGUGUCCUGAGGCAAGAUAAAGCCUCUGAGCUCAGUUUCUCUGUCAGUAAAAAGGACCUAUCUCCUAGUGUUAUAGGAUUAAAUCAGAUGAUACAUGUAAAAUCUUUAGCUUGGGGGUCUGUCACGUAACUGAGCAAUGGGUGACUAUGUUGUAAUUAUUACACCCUCCUGACAUGCACACGGUAGGAGAAAAAUCUAACCUGGGGCAGUAGAUAGCAGCAGAAAGAGCAGGAGCUUUGGAGUCAUUCAGAUGCAAGCUCUGUAAAUUACUUGCUAUGUAGCCUAGAGAACAAGCCAUUCAAACUUCAGUUUCUCCAACUGUAAAAGGGGAAAUAAGAGUGUGGGUCUCAGAGAUGUUGCAAGUAUCACUGCAAUGACAUAACUGAUGCAUCUGACCCAUAAGACUGCCUAAGCGUGCCUGGCCUCGAAGAAUUGGGCAUAAGUUUGACACAUGGAAGAAAUGAGGAGGGGUUGGCAAAAAAACCAAGAAACAUACCUUUGGUUUUGACCACACCGAAGGAGCAUCCAACCCCAAAAGGGAGGCAAGGAAAUAAAGUUAUUUAAAUAAAAUAACAAACCCAGGUAUUAUAGAUGUUUUAAAACAUUACAUUGAUGCAAAAGCGAGUAGUUUUGAAAUAUUUAACUACUUUAGUUAAAAGUGAGGAGUUUUAAAAGGAAACAUUAUUUCAGUCAUGCAACAUAAAGCACAUAAAAUACUGAGUUACGCAGGUAUAACAAAGUAUAGCAGGAAGAAAACAAACAUUACUGAGCAGGCACUAGGCACUAACCCCAGGUUAGGGAUUUUACAUGUAAGAUUGCAAACAUCUGCCAGUGGGAGCCAAGCAGGCAAUGCAACUGUAUGAAAUGAGUCAAAUGUAAGCAAUGGGCAGUGAAGAGGACCGUGCAGGGGACAGGAAGACACACAGACCAUCCAAAGCAGCAAUGCCACACAACUGCAAGUGACUGCUGCCACACUGGAAUGGAGGCAUCACUGCCAGGUCUUCUGGUUUCUCAAGAGAAACUGGAGCUCUGGAUUUUUAAGAGAAAUUGCAUAACCGAAAACGCUCUGUGGUCAACCUACUAUUUUGAAAGCUGACAAAGAGAAUAAAUCAAGCAUUUAUCCUGA
ensembl:lncRNA novel transcript